GGGAACAAUUUGCCCAAUAAGUUAUCGCGAAUACUGAUUAAAGACUUAGCUUCUUCUUUGCAUUCUUCAAGAGUUUUAUCUAACAAGUAAAUAAUCUUACCGGCUUUUCUUUGGAGUGCAAACGAUUUAACGAAAGGAACCUUAAUUUCACCGGCUAGUUUUAAGGAAAUAAACGGUGAUUCAUCACGUUUAAAGCGUUCCUUUAGAUCCUUUUGCAUGUAUUUUAGAGCACAGUAAAAGAACGGCACAUAGGUUUUAUUAGGUUUUAAUGCUUCCAUGGCAAUACCACCAGUACCAUUAAACCAAGGAAUAGUAUGGUAGCGAAUGUUUCCGAUGGAGUAACCGUUAGCAAUCAUUGAAAGAGUAUCACCUUUGGUGUUGGGUUCAUUGACAAAGCUAGUGCUUUCAAUACCAGCACCAUAAUAAGGGAAUUUGCCAUCCUCAAAGCGCUCAUCAGCCUUUAAGUAUUUACCACUCUUUAAGUGAAACACUUCACCUAAACUAAUUUCACCCAUUUGUUCAUGGAGUUCAUGUAGGUUUCAGUGUGUUAAGAAGUCUGGAUCUAAGGUAAAUAAUUUGUGGGCAUACUCGUCUCUGAGCUUACGGUUUACUUCAAUUAAUUCAUUGAGGUGUUCGAUGCGAAGGUCAAACACACUUAAAGCAUGUGCAAUAGUUCGUUGAUCCUGAAUGCUUUUAACAAGCGGAAUAGGUAAAUCCUUUAAAUCACUUAGGCGAAUGUUUUUAAUGGUAGUUCCGCUAGCUAAACUGGUAAUUUUUUCCUCUUGUGAUUUAAGUGCAUAAUAAGCAAACUUGAGG
rnacentral:sRNA from 1 species